UGCUAAACAGAUUUAACAGGAUUCUUGCACUUGGCAGGCCAGGUUGAUCAGACAGAUAUCAAGGUGUGGGGACGCGGGUGGGGGUCCUCUCUAAACUGACUUAGCAGGAUUCUUGCUAAAACUGGGCUGCGUAGGCUUAGGACAAGAGUGUACACGUGCGCCCAAGACAGAGGCCUGGUGGAGAAGAGGGCUCGCAGGAGCCGGUCUAAAAUUUGGUGGAGGAGCGAGUUUUGUCAAACUUUUCAGAUUAUCCCUGAGACUUGAGUACCUGUGGGAAGGAUCACUCUGCCAAGUUUUUGUGGCCAUUUCUACGGUGUUUAGACAUGAAUUUUACUUCUCCCUGCCACUGGAGAGGCUGCUGUAGAGCUCUUCAUAGGUAGAGUAUGACAGACAUCUUUGAAGUGUAAUUACGGCUGACAACCAAGACCUGAGAAGGUCUCCUCCUCGAUGGAUGGAGAACGUUCAAUAUGGGAGAGAGGAGAUGACAGUAUGACCUCAACUUUAGAUAUGUGCCAGUAAAGCCUCAAGAUAUUCCUGGGAGAUCUUGAUAAAAUGAUGGAAACCAAGGGCUUCCUCCUGCUCAGCUUCUACAAAGAGGGGUCCAUGUCUUGAGAUGCUUCUUCAGGAGACUGAGGUUGGUCCCAGGAGUCACAGCCAGUGUGCAGGGGCCGCUGAAGAUCCUGUGAUGAAAAGGGAUUCUGGACUGGCCUCCUUGCUGAAGGAAGAUCCUACACAUGUCCUUCUCCUACAUUCCUAAAGAAAUCAAUACACACCCAAAGCAUCGCAAUGCUUGUUUGGGAUUAAGAUGUUGCCUUUUAGCCUUUUCUAUUCAAUUUAUUUAAACACUUAGGCUGUGGUUUUUUUCUCUUUCAUUUUCUAGACCUGUCACCUAGAGAAUUGUCUCAGUUGGAAGAUGGCUGUAAUCUGUAGGCUGUAUCAGAGUCCCGAUGUCUGCUUGAGGAUGGCAUUUGACAGGGGAAAACUACAUAAUCAUUGAGAGUGGGCAGGCAGUAGGGUGGGAAGGGGGAGAAAAAUCAUAAGCUUUUGUGUGUUUGUUUUUCUUCUUCUGGUUACCAGAAUGUUGCAGGUAUGGGUACGGGGAAGACACUAUGGCAACAGCCAGCAGAAACACUGGAUAUAUUUCCUCCUGUAUGUCGCCAUCAGGCUGACUUCUACAGCUGGUUGAGACCUGGAAGAAAGGCAGCAGAUAACACAGGAAAAUGACUCUUCUGUUAAGGGCACAGUUGAACGUUGUUUAAGAUGGAGUUAAUAUCUUAUGUGAUUUGAUUUUGGUUAAUCAAAUUAAGUGUUAUUUUGUGAAUAAACUAAUUAAACAUUGUAAUAAAAAUAGAAGUAAAAAACAGAUCUUAUAAUCAGUGGAGAGAAUAUUAUGUUGUUUGAUAAACUGGAUGGAAUGAACUUGUGUAUAUUUACGUGGUAAGGUUUUGUUGAAAUCUUUAGAUUUAAAAGCCAGAUGUAUUAGUUUGGGUUCUCCAGAGAAACAGAAUCAAUAGAAUAAAUUAUACCUAUAAAUUAUACAUAUACAUAUAUGUAUAGAUAGAUAGAUAGAGAAUAAGGGAUUCGCUCACAUCGUAAUGGAGGCUGAGGAGUCACAUGUUCUGCUGCCAGCAAGCUGGAGACCCAGGAGCGCCAAUGCCAUCGUUCCAGUCUGAGUCUAGGGUCCUGAGACCCAGAGAAGCCAACAGUGGAAGUUCCAGCCUGAGAACCUGGAGAGCCGAUGAUUUAAGUUCCAGGUCUGAGUCUGCGUCCGAAGGCAAGAAGAGGUCAGUAUCCCGGCUCCAACAUCCGGCAGAGACAGAGCAAGUCUUCCCUUCAUCUGGGAGCCCCAAGUAUUGGAGGAGGCCCACCCACACUGGCGAGAACACACUGCUUUACUCAGCUGACCAAUGUGAAUCUCAUGCAGAAACACCCUCACAGACAUACCCGGGAUAGCGUUUAACCAAUAUCUCAGCACUUUGUGGUCCAGUCAAGUUAAAACAUAAAUUAACCAUCAGUGGUCUACCCCUGUCGCCUGGGCACCCAGACACAACUCUUUCAACCAUACUUAGUCUCCACAUAAGUCUGUGAUAUUCCAGAGCCCCUCAAGCUUGAAUAAUUAUUAUACAAAUAAAACUACAAGUUCAUUUGCCCUAAAUUGUAAGCUUCUUGAAGGCAGAGGCCAUUUCUUAGUCAUCUUUGUACCCAGGGGCCAAGGACAGAGUCUGGAAUAUUGUAGGCCCACAGCCACAAUUGUAAAUACUGAGAGAGUUCAAGGCUUUGAAGUUCAACAUACUCUAGCACUUUCUGAUCUUUUCAUGCCAGCUUUUCUAAAAUUACAAAAAUCUAGGAACAAGGUCACUGAGAUUUAACUGACAUUAAUUGUAUUCAGUGGGUUCAAGCUCAGAUUUAUCUUUAGCUUAUUUUUGAAAAGGCCCAGGAGCUAAUUAUCUCUAAUAUUUAUCUCUAGAUUUAAAGUCCUACCUUCGUAGUGAGCCAACUGUGCAAUGGGAAGAAUUCCUAUCUGCUUCUGAAAUCUGUUUUCUCUUAGUUACUUCUUUAUCAGCUAACCCUUGAGCUAUUAAAUAUGCUGCUUAGUCAAAACUGUCAAGCUGUCUUCGCGAAGCUCGUGGGAUUAUGGUUGCACACUUUUAUAGACAGGGGAUUUACCUCUGCGGGAGAGAGAAAAUGACAAGGCACACGACCAGGGUAACCUCACAGUGGGAAAAUGUGAACAGUUGUCAGCCGUAAAAAGAAAUAUUCUUGUCACAUGAGAAAAACACCUAAAGCACUGAAUUAUUUUGAGGCAAGUGCGUGGCCCUUCCUACCUGCCCCAGAGUACUCAACACUCAGUAAUUAUACAUGGCUGAGAGAGCACUUUAAAAAAUGUGUCCCAGAUGUGACUUCGCUCAGUGGGGUUCGCCUUCCUUUCAUCUCUUUAGUGAGUGAUUUUGCUUCUUAUAAAACCCCUUAGUGGUUGGAAUCCUUUUUUUUUCAUUCACUGAGGAAAUGUUUAUAGCGCACUUGUGGUCUCUGCCUUCUCCUGGAUAGCGGAGAACAGACU